rnacentral:rRNA from 1 species
UACGGGGGGGGCAAGCGUUGUUCGGAAUUACUGGGCGUAAAGGGCUCGUAGGCGGCCAACUAAGUCGGACGUGAAAUCCCUCGGCUUAACCGGGGAACUGCAUCCGAUACUGGAAGGCUUGAGUUUGGGAGAGGGAUGCGGAAUUCCAGGUGUAGCGGUGAAAUGCGUAGAUAUCUGGAGGAACACCGGUGGCGAAGGCGGCAUCCUGGACCAACACUGACGCUGAGGAGCGAAAGCCAGGGGAGCAAACGGG